rnacentral:rRNA from 1 species
UACGUAGGGCGCGAGCGUUGUCCGGAAUUAUUGGGCGUAAAGAGCUCGUAGGCGGCCUGUCGCGUCCGCUGUGAAAACCCGGGGCUUAACCCCGGGUCGGCAGUGGAUACGGGCAGGCUAGAGGUAGGUAGGGGAGAAUGGAAUUCCCGGUGUAGCGGUGAAAUGCGCAGAUAUCGGGAGGAACACCGGUGGCGAAGGCGGUUCUCUGGGCCUUACCUGACGCUGAGGAGCGAAAGCGUGGGGAGCGAACAGG